rnacentral:rRNA from 1 species
GAGUUUGAUCGUGGCUCAGGAUGAACGCUGGCGGCGUGCCUAAUACAUGCAAGUCAAGCGAACGGACGAGAAGCUUGCUUCUCUGAUGUUAGCGGCGGACGGGUGAGUAACACGUGGAUAACCUACCUAUAAGACUGGGAUAACUUCGGGAAACCGGAGCUAAUACCGGAUGAUAUUUUGAACCGCAUGGUUCAAAAGUGAAAGACGGUCUUGCUGUCACUUAUAGAUGGAUCCGCGCUGCAUUAGCUAGUUGGUAAGGUAACGGCUUACCAAGGCAACGAUGCAUAGCCGACCUGAGAGGGUGAUCGGCCACACUGGAACUGAGACACGGUCCAGACUCCUACGGGAGGCAGCAGUAGGGAAUCUUCCGCAAUGGGCGAAAGCCUGACGGAGCAACGCCGCGUGAGUGAUGAAGGUCUUCGGAUCGUAAAACUCUGUUAUUAGGGAAGAACAUAUGUGUAAGUAACUGUGCACAUCUUGACGGUACCUAAUCAGAAAGCCACGGCUAACUAC